rnacentral:rRNA from 1 species
UACGUAGGGGGCAAGCGUUGUCCGGAAUCAUUGGGCGUAAAGAGCGUGUAGGCGGUUCGGCAAGUCCGUUGUAAAAGUCCAGGGCUCAAUCCUGGAAAGCCGGUGGAAACUGUCGAGCUAGAGUCCGGAAGAGGCGAGUGGAAUUCCUGGUGUAGCGGUGAAAUGCGCAGAUAUCAGGAGGAACACCAAUGGCGAAGGCAGCUCGCUGGGACGGUACUGACGCUGAGACGCGAAAGCGUGGGGAGCAAACAGG